GAGAAGAGAAGCUGGGUUCUGUAUCCUGCUGAAGAAGAUGACUUUAUUACAAGCAUCAGAAUUAUUGGCUCCUGAAGGCUUUUUGGUGGGAUUAUUUCUUAUGUCAGUGCUACUGUUCUGCGUUGCCUGUGGGAUCUGAGAUGCCUGAGACUAUCUGCCCUGUAGGGGAAGGACUAGGCUUAGCUCGCUUGAGGGUUUGUGGUGGAGUGGAUACCUGCCUGUCUCUAACUUAAAACAGUAAUUCCUUACAUACCUCACAAAGAUGUGGGUGUGUGGUCUCUUUCUGUGCGUUAGCCUCACUCGUUUGCUGCUGAAGGUUUUCAUCUUGGGGAAUGUGAAGAGGAAGAGGGAUGAUCCCUGAAGCGAUUGGCUCUUUGGCACUGCAUGCUCUGUAAAAGACAAAGUGAGACUUCAAUCAAUAACAAAUAUUUUUACAAGUUACCUAUGGCAUAGGUACUGUGCAGCAGACUUGCUUUGUGCAGUGUAAUGGCUGACUGUACUGCCAGUGUUUGUGUUGUUGUAGCUGUAUUUCCAGAUAGAAUUGUUUCUUGAGCUCAGUAUGGCUCAGUGACUGCCUUGUUUUACAAUAAAUAAAGAA